rnacentral:rRNA from 1 species
GAUGAACGCUGGCGGCGUGCCUAACACAUGCAAGUCGAACGAACAGAUCAGGAUUUUGUUGUUCUGUCCGUAGAGGCGGACGGGUGAGUAACACGUGGAUCACCUAUCUAUAAGACUGGGAUAACGUCGGAAAACCGGAGACUAUACCGGAUAAUCUAUUGAACCGCAUGGUUCUGUAGUGAAUGGCGGUUUUUCUGCUACUUAUAGAUGGUUCUGUGCCGCAUUAGCUGGUUGGUAAGGUAACGGCAUACCAAGGCAACGAUGCGUAGCCGACCUGAGAGGGUGAUCGGCCACACUGGAACUGAGACAGGGUCCAGGCUCCGACGGGAGGCAGCAGUAGGGAAUCGUCCGCAAUGGGCGAAAGCCUGACGGAGCAACGCCGAGUGAGUGAUGAAGGUCUUCGGAUCGUAAAACUCUGUUCUUAGGGACGAACAGAUGUGUAAGUAGCUAUGCACGUCUUGACGGUACCGGAUCAGGAAGCAACGGCUAACUACGUG